rnacentral:rRNA from 1 species
AGUGAACGCUGGCGGUAGGCCUAACACAUGCAAGUCGAACGGCAGCACAGUAAGAGCUUGCUCUUACGGGUGGCGAGUGGCGGACGGGUGAGGAAUACAUCGGAAUCUACUUUUUCGUGGGGGAUAACGUAGGGAAACUUACGCUAAUACCGCAUACGACCUACGGGUGAAAGCAGGGGAUCUUCGCACCUUGCGCGAUUGAAUGAGCCGAUGUCGGAUUAGCUAGUUGGCGGAGUAAAGGCCCACCAAGGCGACGAUCCGUAGCUGGUCUGAGAGGAUGAUCAGCCACACUGGAACUGAGACAAGGUCCAGAAUCCUAAGGGAGGCAGCAGUGGGGAAUAUUGGAGAAUGGGCGCAAGCCUGAACCAGCCAUACCGCGUGGGUGAAGAAGGCCUUCGGGUUGUAAAGCCCUUUUGUUGGGAAAGAAAAGCAGCAGGUUAAUACACCGAUGUUCUGACGGUACCCAAAGAAUAAGCACCGGCUAACUUCGUG